AUAAAAGUUAUGAUAGGGCAAAGUAGAUAUGUUAAGUGUUUUACAGAGAAUGGGGCACGGUGGAAACCCAUAAAUACACAUUUCGAAACUCACCCUUGAACUGUAGGCUGAAGUAAUAGUAAGCUGAUCCGGUGAAAGCCGUUAUUUUAAUGAAGUAAGAAAUUUGGGUGGUACCGCGACAGACCUUUCGCCCCAUGA
rnacentral:ncRNA from 1 species